rnacentral:tRNA from 1 species
UGCGGGGUGGAGCAGCCUGGUAGCUCGUAAGCCUCAUAAGCUUAAGAUCGCUGGUUCAAAUCCAGCUCCCGCCA